UACGUAGGGUGCAAGCGUUAAUCGGAAUUACUGGGCGUAAAGCGUGCGCAGGCGGUUUUGUAAGUUUGUCGUGAAAUCCCCCGGGCUUAACCUGGGAAUUGCGAUGAAGACUGCAAGGCUAGAAUCUGGCAGAGGGGGUAGAAUUCCACGUGUAGCAGUGAAAUGCGUAGAGAUGUGGAGGAACACCGAUGGCGAAGGCAGCCCCCUGGGUCAAGAUUGACGCUC
rnacentral:rRNA from 1 species